AUGAUUGCGAAUUGUUGCCUUCAGUGCUGGCCGGGCUUCCGCUUUGGCAAGUGCACGUCGGUAUCCACACACUUGUGCACCUUUGGCCUCAUGCUGGCUUCGGCUGGCAGAGGAUUUUACACAAACUGAAAUGUAAUGAUAAACUGUUGUGUGCAUAUGCACUACUAAUA
rnacentral:misc_RNA from 1 species